rnacentral:rRNA from 1 species
AUACGUAGGUGGCAAGCGUUGUCCGGAUUUACUGGGUGUAAAGGGUGCGUAGGCGGGGCAGCAAGUUGGAUGUGAAAUCCUCGGGCUCAACUCGAGAACUGCAUUCAAAACUGUUGCUCUUGAGUGCAGUAGAGGCAAGCGGAAUUCCCGGUGUAGCGGUGAAACGCGCAGAGAUCGGGAGGAACACCAGUGGCGAAGGCGGCUUGCUGGGCUGUUACUGACGCUGAGGCACGAAAGCAUGGGUAGCAAACAGGAUUAGAUACCCUGGUAGUCCAUGCUGUAAACGAUGAUUACUAGGUGUGGGUGGACUGACCCCAUCCGUGCCGGAGUUAACACAUUAAGUAAUCCACCUGGGGAGUACGGCCGCAAGGUUGAAACUCAAAUGAAUUGACGGGG